GAUCUCAAGGACACUAUUGUUGCUCUCAUCAGGAGCACCAGUCAACGGUAAAUACUGACUGACACUCAAAGAUGCCCCUAAAGUGACUUUUACUUUAAAGGCUGGGGGUGUAAUCUCCAUAUUUAAUGAUUUCCAUAGGUGUCAUUCUUUAUGACCGGGCCCAGUAGGAGGCGCCGUCGUGACCUCCGUGCUAGCUCCUUUGAGGACUACAAAGACCUGGCUUUGGCCUCUGGAGGCCAGGCCAUCCAGGUUUCAAAGAGUCAGUUGCCUCAGGCCACAGACGUCAUCCUUGACACCUCUACUUCAGCUCUGGUGACAGUUCUUCAGCGAGCAAGGAACCCUGGGCAGAAGGAGACUUUCCCCUUCAUGUUGGAUGAAUCUCUGAAAAAUAAUCACCAUCUACAUCACAGGACAAUCCAUUACUUUCACGCUGACCAACCCUGCAGGUGUGAGCCAGAAGCACAACGAAGCCAGCGGUAA
rnacentral:lncRNA from 1 species